CCUACGGGUGGCAGCAGUAGGGAAUCUUUCACAAUGGGCGAAAGCCUGAUGGAGCAACGCCGCGUGCAGGAUGAAGGCCUUCGGGUUGUAAACUGCUUUUAUAAGCGAGAAAUAUGAUGGUAACUUAUGAAUAAGGAUCGGCUAACUCCGUGCCAGCAGCCGCGGUAAUACGGAGGAUUCAAGCGUUAUCCGGAUUUAUUGGGUUUAAAGGGUGCGUAGGCGGUCGGAUAAGUUAGAGGUGAAAUCCCGAGGCUCAACUUCGGAAUUGCCUCUGAUACUGUUCGGCUAGAGAGUAGUUGCGGUAGGCGGAAUGUAUGGUGUAGCGGUGAAAUGCUUAGAGAUCAUACAGAACACCGAUUGCGAAGGCAGCUUACCAAGCUACUUCUGACGUUGAGGCACGAAAGCGUGGGGAGCAAACAGGAUUAGAUACCCUUGUAGUC
rnacentral:rRNA from 1 species